rfam:Paraphaeosphaeria sporulosa strain AP3s5-JAC2a unplaced genomic scaffold CC84scaffold_1, whole genome shotgun sequence.
GCCCGGCUAGCUCAAUCGGUAGAGCGUGAGACUCUUAAGUAUUCACGGUCUAAUCAACUCGAUUACUCGGCAUCUCAAGGUUGUGGGUUCGACCCCCACGUCGGGCU